CCUGAGCCUGUGCUAAGCUUGUUUGUUUUUCUGCCUUCUGUUAGUACCUGUGAGGUGUGGGUAGUUUCCUCUCUACCUGGACCCGGACACCCAGUACUUCUUUCUACAGUUUGUGAACUUUGGAUUACCACCACUAGACUGUGGUUUGGUUCCUAAACCUCCUAAGCUCCUACCUCUGUGUGGACUCAGACCUGCUGUGGACCAUUCUUACUGGACAAGCAUUCUGGAUUGCCUGACUCCCAAGCCCAGUGGUAAAGAUCUCCCCCCAUGUAUUACUACCUGUGAUCAAAAGAACCCGAGAAGUCUGAAGAACCUGCCUGAGCAUUUCCUACCGGGUUUCUGGUGUUACGUGAAAUACUGACUGUUAAUAAACAUUUGAACCUUUA